rnacentral:rRNA from 1 species
UCGCGUGAUCAUGGCGCGGAGGAAACACCCGUUCCCAUCCCGAACACGGCAGUUAAGCUCCGCAGCGGCGGACGUACUUGGAGGGCAGCCUCCCGGAAGAUAAGCACGUUGCGCGGA